rnacentral:rRNA from 1 species
GACAGAGGAGCCAAGCGUUGUCCGGACUGACUGGGCGUAAAGCGCACGCAGGCGGCGCUGCGCGUGGGGUGUGAAAGCUCUUGGCUUAACUGAGAGAGGCCAUCCCAUACGGCAGUGCUCGAGCGGUGCAGAGGUCCGCGGAAUUGCCGGUGUAGUGGUGAAAUGCGUAGAGAUCGGCAGGAACAGCCCAGGGGAACCGAGCCGAC